ACUCGAGUGGCGAACGGGUGAGUAACACGUGGGUGAUCUGCCCUGCACUUCGGGAUAAGCCUGGGAAACUGGGUCUAAUACCGGAUAGGACGAUGGUUUGGAUGCCAUUGUGGAAAGCUUUUCGGUGUGGGAUGAGCUCGCGGCCUAUCAGCUUGUUGGUGGGGUAAUGGCCUACCAAGGCGUCGACGGGUAGCCGGCCUGAGAGGGUGUACGGCCACAUUGGGACUGAGAUACGGCCCAG
rnacentral:rRNA from 1 species